CAUGAUCACCAAAGCACCCUGAAUGUAGCCCUCUUAAGGGGUUUGGGAAGCUAAGCAGGGUCAGGUCUGGUUAGUACUUGGAUGGGAGACCAACCGCGAAUACCAGAGACCUCCAGGU
rnacentral:rRNA from 1 species